UCGGCCCGGGCGCACCUUUUCUCCCUCCUGCCACAAUGUGAGCGCUCAGCCGCGCAGAUAACCGCCGGCUGCCUGCUCCACCCCCGGCCCUCGCCCACUCCGCCCACUCCCGAGCGCCCAGGUGACAAUCCUACAGAAGGCUUCCCCACAUUCUUUGGAUUCCUGGUUUCUUCCUCAGGUGAGCAGUGCUGUUUGGAAUCACAGGACAGCAGAUUUCCCCACAGCCCCAAAUACUUUUCACUGCUGCCAGUCACACCUAAAGACAACUGCUUUCCUGCUGGUUUCAAUGGGCACAGCAGCACCUCUCCCAGCAUCUGCGGGAGCUAUGCCAGUUUCAUGACCAAGAAUUCUACCCCUGGGCCAAGGUGCCUUGGAGACAGAGCCACCAAGUUGCAGGAAGGACCCUAGGAAAGCCCCAGGAGAUCAGCCAAGCAUGUUCUGGCUUCCAUCCGCUUCCCAGUUAUCAGAGGAUGCUGGCUCCAGGAAUGGAGACUUUUUCCACUGCAGGAGAACAAUGUGGUGCCUCCUGGAUCGUGCCGUGUGAGCGUCUCACUAGAAGCUUCUGCAAUCCUCCCAGCGAGGCACUCUCUGAGAUGUGAAGAAGCGGGAAGGAAGUCUCUAUGGGACCAUGGUGGGCAGCACGGAAGAGCUUGGGGGGCAGCCGUGAGCGCUGCUCUGUCUCACUGCAUCUGUCUCCAUUAGCGUCUGUCCUCCCCGCUCAAGCCGGUCCCUCCGCUCCAUGGCAGGAGGGCCUAUCUUCCCUGCGACACACAAAGAGCGACUUCAGUGGCUGUCACAGUGCCUGGUCCAUAGCCUCUGUUCUGUAGAUGUUUGCCGAGUGAGUUGGCUAUAAACAUGGGAAGGUUUCCCUUGGAAAGGUUGAUGCUGCUGUUCAGAUGUUGAGCAUUGCAGCACUGAUAUUUGUGUGCUACGGAUGGGAAGGAACGAGGUUGGGAAUGGGAAGGGACUCUACUGGGCAGUAAGAAUGAAAGCUUGUAGCAGGGUCCUGAAAACCCCCGGAAGCUCAGAGGGUAUCUAAUUGGCUUUGAGAAACUGCUGUGGGCUCUCUGGAUCACUCCUAGAAGACAGCAAGUGAGUGGAAGUCUUCACAGUGAAUCUAAAGAUGGCCCGACACAGUGGGGCGCUCAAGAGAUACUCUUGUGCUGAGGGCUGGAUCUUUUGGCUGGGUGGGUAUCAAGAUACCAGCAAGCCUUCUUGUGAAGCUUGCUUCCUGUGUGUGUGAAACUCCAGGGAACAGGCAGACUGAUGGCAUAGGUAGAGUCGGCAACCCCCACUGCCAGGGAGGAAGACGAUGUCUCUGGACUCAACUCAGAGGUUCUCCGAACAGAAAGACUUGUUUUUCUCCAGAGAGCUUCCUGAGAGCAGAGAAGAUAUCUCACGUAUCUCACAUGGUAACCAGGUAACCUGCCAUGCUCGUAGUAGCUGCUUAAUAAGCUCAAGUGACUGCGUAGCUGUUGGCUGGCUCUGGGAGAUGUGGACCCCAGGAGCGCUAGUGGAGGCUGCUGGAGCACUUUCUUUCUGUCCUCCAGCUCCCACAGCCUAUUCUGCGUUGACCCGCUUUUUUCCUUUAAGCCAGAAGAUGUUUCCAGGGGCUGCUGCUCUCUAAGUGAUGUGCACGGGUGGAGAAAGGAGAUGGGGCCUCAGCCCGCUGACAGUUAGAGCGCUCCCUUCCUUCUCCAGUGGGUGCCUAGAGGGCCAGAACCCAUUCCACUCAACUCCUUAGCUAGCCAUCAGUCUUCCCUUCUCAUUCCCUUCCAGCCCUUCUCCCUUUCAUCUCAGCUCAGCGAGCAGAGACACGUCCCCGCUGGAAGCUGGUGUUAAGAAACGUGGCCACAACACACGUGGACACACACAACACACACACACCUUUCUCAGUCUAUGAGCCUUUGUCUGGCCCUUUGCUCCUGGGCCUGACCCAUCUUUAUGAGAUCAAGGCUCUUUCUAUCCCAGGAUGCCGAACCCUGGCCUCCGAUGGGACAGAGCUGGUCAUUUUGCACGUCUCCAGCCUUGCCCUCCCUUGGGGGCUUGUGGAAGAUCCACCCAUAUGGCAGAACCUUCCAGAGAGACUCGAAACCAGGAGCCUGACCUCAUGAUGCCCGAAGCGCCUGGCACAGAAGGUACCAGCUCUGAUGUCCUGGCCCAAGCCCAGUUCUCGCUUCUAGAAUCCACACCUUCUCUGGCUCUCCUCCAGCCCUACCCCAGCUUAGAGAGAAUAAGAACGGCUGCAGGAAGGACGUGAAGGAAGGGAAGGACUGAGGCGAUGAAGGACAAGCGAGCCACUGCAGCCACGCUCCCGAAUACAAGCAUCCUUUGUUCUAUGGGAUAAAUACAGUCCUCAGUAUUUCAGCUGCGCAGCGCCGAUGAAGUAGAAAGGCAGCUUAUUCUCUGAGAUCCAAGACCCACGACUUAAAAACUUUUGCUGAAAUCAAAGCCUUUGUGAAGCAUUACAUCUUGUUGUUGUUUCGAGGCAGGGUCUCAGUGUGUAUCCCUGACUGUCCCAGAACUAACUGCCUACUCUUGAACUCACAGAGACCCACCUGUGCUAGAACGAGAGGCGUGCGCCACUGUGUUUGGCUAAGGUAUCAGUCACAUCUUAUCAGCAAUAACAUUUUAACA